rnacentral:rRNA from 1 species
GCCGGAUUAAUACCGCAUACGAUCUAUGGAUGAAAGCGGGGGAUCUUCGGACCUCGUGCUAUAGGGGCGGCCGAUGGCAGAUUAGCUAGUUGGUGGGGUAAAGGCUCACCAAGGCGACGAUCUGUAGCUGGUCUGAGAGGACGACCAGCCACACUGGGACUGAGACACGGCCCAGACUCCUACGGGAGGCAGCAGUGGGGAAUUUUGGACAAUGGGGGCAACCCUGAUCCAGCAAUGCCGCGUGUGUGAAGAAGGCCUUCGGGUUGUAAAGCACUUUUGUCCGGAAAGAAAUCCUUUUGGCUAAUAUCCGAAGGGGAUGACGGUACCGGAAGAAUAAGCACCGGCUAACUACGUGCCAGCAGCCGCGGUAAUACGUAGGGUGCGAGCGUUAAUCGGAAUUACUGGGCGUAAAGCGUGCGCAGGCGGUUCGCUAAGACCGAUGUGAAAUCCCCGGGCUUAACCUGGGAACUGCAUUGGUGACUGGCGGGCUAGAGUAUGGCAGAGGGGGGUAGAAUUCCACGUGUAGCAGUGAAAUGCGUAGAGAUGUGGAGGAAUACCGAUGGCGAAGGCAGCCCCCUGGGCCAAUACUGACGCUCAU